AACUUCUUUACUGUGUUGGUGACUGCGCACUGGAACAGAUUGCUCAGAGAGGUCAUUGAUUCUACCUCACUGGAGAUAUGCAAGAAGUGUCUGGAAACAAACC